GACGAACGCUGGCGGCGUGCUUAACACAUGCAAGUCGAACGGAAAGGCCCUGCUUUUGUGGGGUGCUCGAGUGGCGAACGGGUGAGUAACACGUGAGUAACCUGCCCUUGACUUUGGGAUAACUUCAGGAAACUGGGGCUAAUACCGGAUAGGAGCUCCUGCUGCAUGGUGGGGGUUGGAAAGUUUCGGCGGUUGGGGAU
rnacentral:rRNA from 1 species